rnacentral:rRNA from 1 species
UUUUNUUUCAGUUUNNNACUGGCUCAGAUUGAACGCNCGCGGCACNCNCAACACNNUGCAAGUCGAGCGGUAGCAGGAUAUAGCUUGCUUUCUUGCUGACGAGCGGCGGACGGGUGAGUAAUGUGUGGNGUAUCUGCCCUAUAGAGGGGGUUAACUACUGGAAACGGUGGCUAAUACUGCAUAANUGUCUACGGACCAAAGCUGGGGCUCUUCGGACCUUGUCACUAUCGGAUGAACCCAUAUGGGAUUAGCUAGUAGGUGGGGUAAAGGCUCACCUAGGCGACGAUCUUUAGCUGGUCUGAGAGGAUGUUCAGCCCCCCUGGGACUGAGCCCCUGCCCAGACUCCUCCGGUAGGCACGCAGUGGGGAAUAUUGCACUCAAUGCGCCACAAUCCUGAUGCACCCAUGCCGCGUGNNUGANNAAGGCCUUANGGUUGUAAAGUACUUUCAGUGUGNAGGAAGGNGAUAAGGUUAAUACCCUUAUCAAUUGGCGUUCCCCGCAGAACAAGCACCGACUAACUCCGUG